UAGGGCAAGACCCAUUAUUUUUUGAGACAUCUGUUGCCACAAAACCUAGGCAGCUCAGCAAAUUGAACCACCACCAAUCCACCAAAUCACCAAUCACUAGACUACAGUACCAACCACCAACUACCGCCAUCUAAUCAAAGUAAUUAUCGUCAACCUACCAGUAUAAUACUACCGCCAUCCAGUAAGUUAAUUGCCACCUCUAUUUCGCCAGUCAACCGUCAACACUAAUUAGUAAUCUUGUAUACAAUCAGAACUCAAUCGUCAAAUCAAAGUUUAUUCGUCACAGUAAUUAUAAAGUAAUUCUACCAGCGGAUCAAGAACAAUAAAGAAAGUUUUACAAUUAAUUUGGUGCGUCUCAUUGCUGAGUAAAAUAUUCCUGAACUUAAGUAAAACGACGAUCUGUAGCAUCACAGGCUA